rnacentral:rRNA from 1 species
AGAGUUUGAUCAUGGCUCAGAACGAACGCUGGCGGCAGGCCUAACACAUGCAAGUCGAACGAACCUUUUAGGUGAGUGGCGCACGGGUGCGUAACGCGUGGGAAUGUACACCUUGGUAAGGAAUAACUGCUGGAAACGGUAGCUAAUACCUUAUAAUGACUCCGGUCCAAAGAUUUAUCGCCAAGGGAUCAGCCCGCGUCAGAUUAGCUUGUUGGUGAGGUAAAGGCUCACCAAGGCGACGAUCUGUAGGGGGUCUGAGAGGAUGAUCCCCCACACUGGUACUGAGACACGGACCAGACUCCUACGGGAGGCAGCAGUGAGGAAUAUUGGACAAUGGGGGAAACCCUGAUCCAGCCAUGCCGCGUGUAUGAAGAAGGCCUUAGGGUUGUAAAGUACUUUCAAUGGUGAAGAUAAUGACGGUACCCAGUAAAGAAGCCCCGGCUAACUCCGUGCCAGCAGCCGCGGUAAUACGGAGGGUGCAAGCGUUAAUCGGAAUUACUGGGCGUAAAGCGAGUGUAGGCGGCAACGUAAGUCGGAUGUGAAAUCCCUGGGCUCAACCUAGGAAUUGCAUUCGAUACUGCGUAGCUUGAAUCAGACAGAGGGAUGUGGAAUUCCGGGUGUAGCGGUGAAAUGCGUAGAUAUCCGGAGGAACACCAGUGGCGAAGGCGGCAUCCUGGGUCUAGAUUGACGCUGAGGCUCG